CCGGACGCCGUUCGGGUCCGGUGGACAUAGAGGGCGUCGGCUCUCCCGUACCGACGCUUCUCAUGCCCAGAUUGCUCACAGGAGGAUUUGGCAAUGAGAA
rfam:Sphingomonas sanxanigenens DSM 19645 = NX02 plasmid pNXO2, complete sequence.